rnacentral:lncRNA from 1 species
GGGCCUGGUCGGCUCCAGCAGGUGCAUGGUCUUUCCCACGCGCACCUGCUGGCCUGCGCCUCGCGCGCCCUCUGCUGGUCAUAGCCGGUAAGUGCACUGAGGAAAGGGCCCGUCCGGGAAAUGUUAGUAAAUCAAUCCGAAUCUCGUUUCCACAGCUACCCAAACGGUUUGUAGGACGGUUACUUUCCUCAUUUUCAGUCUCCCAGAGCUAGGAGUUCACAUCCUAAGUCAAUCUGUGUCCUAGAAAGUACUUCAGAGAGCUCCGUUUCCUAGGAUCAGAUUUCCUCCCUUCCCUAAGAGCAGUGUUAUUUUAAUUAACGACAGAUGAGCGCACAGGCAAAGGUUCUCUGGACAGGUAUGGGGUCAUAAAAAGAAGGAGACGAUGCCAAAGGAUCGCGGUUUUGCUUAUUUAUUUCGAUGUUUCCUUAGGGCAGUGGACUUUUGGGACAUUCUUACGAAUACCUUCUGGCACAUCCUUGAACUUGGGCACAAUCUAAGCCCACAAAGUGUGAAACACAAAUCCUUGAACCUAGACCGGCGUUCACAGACCGCUUCG